UCUUUGGUGGUCCAGUGGCUAAGACUCUGUGCUCCUAAUGCUGGGGUGCCAGGUUCGAUCCCUGGUCAGGGAA
rnacentral:tRNA from 1 species